ACCAUGAACGUCCUUCAAACUGCAAUCUGCUGCUUCUUCUUCUUCACAGCUCUGUGCGGUCGACACAGUGACAUCAUCACUGCACAAGAGGUCCAUUCUGGAAGAGAAGGAGAAGAUAUCACAGUUGGAUGUAGAUUUUAUUGCCCUGGAAGGAGGAAGUUAAUCUGCAGAGAAACAUGUGA